rnacentral:lncRNA from 1 species
ACUACACAAAAAGAUGCUGACAGUCUUCUGUUCUUUAUGGAAAGGGAAUAGCUUCCAGACUGCGGGCAGGAGGACAGAAGAGCUGAAGUACGUGAGAUCUAAACCUGGAAGAUGACUGAGGCUCACACCUCAUUUGCUUCUCUGACCACUGCUGCUCACUGAACAGCUGUCUCCAGUGAUCUGUCCAUGAUGAUACAGCCAGUGCUACUUUAAUUUUGCUUGCAAAUAGGCAGCAACAGAUGGCACAAAGCAGAGUGGAGGAAAUGGAUUCAAACCAAUUCACUUGGAGAACGUAAGCCAAGCACAACCACAGGAUCAAACGUAGAAAUGGAGUGCAAGUUCGUCUACUGUUGGUCACCAUUUUUGAGGAAGCAGGUACUGUCAGAUCAUCUUCUCUUAUCUUUUUCAGCUGUUCCUCCAAGUCAGAAAGUAU